GAGUGGCUUUUUCUUCUUUUUUUUCUGUGAUGAAAAGAGAGUGGCUAUUUAGCUAAUAAACUUGCAAUGCUUUUCGACAGGAAAAAAAAAAAAGAAAAAAAACCUUUAAACGAGCGCUUCAAUCAAAGAUUAAAGGUACUUAGAUUAAGAACUCAAACAGGGCCUUAGUGAUUCGUAUUGCCAGUCUCUUGCGCAAAAGCGAUCACCCUCUCCAUUCACUCAAAACGAUUCAAGCAGCAGAGACUAAUCUCUGAUGUCGAUCUUCGAGUACAAUGGGAGUGCCCUGAUCGCAAUGGUGGGCAAGAACUGCUUCGCCAUUGCAAGCGAUCGAAGGCUCGGUGUUCAGCUCCAGACAAUCGCCACCGAUUUCCAGAGAAUUCAUAGAGUUCACGAUGGGCUCUUUAUCGGCCUCUCUGGUCUCGCCACCGAUGCUUAGACCCUACCCUGUAUGUAUAGGCCCCUCUCACUUUGUUUAAUAGAAAGACAUUAACUUUUGGGUUGAUGAUGAAGGUUUCAGAGGCUUUUGUUUCGGCACAAGCUGUACCAGCUUCGUAAAGACAGAGACAUAAAGCCUGAGACUUUUGCGUCUCUGCUAUUCUUUAUGAGAAAAGGUUUGGUCCAUACUUCUGUGUUCUGUCUGUCAGCCUGUAAUUGCUGGAUUGGGAGAUAAAGGUUAGCCAUUCUUCUGCACUAUGGAUUCAACUGGAGCCAAGUAGGGAACUAGCCAAGAUUUUGUUGUUGCUGGCACUGCAUCAGAGUCCCUUUACGGUGCUUGUGAGGCAAUGUUCAAGUCUGAGAUGGGAACCAGAGGAAUUCUUUGAGAUUGUUUCUCAAGCAUUGCUAUCAUCAGAUGAUCAAGAUUGUCUGAGUGGGUGGGGAGGCCAUGUCUAUGUAGUGUCAGCCUUUUCUUACUCCCUACUUUUUUUCUUCUAAGCAAUAUCACUAACUGUGUUAUAACUUAUCCAUAAAAAUAGGUAAUGUACAGUGGAGCUGUUCCUCUUGGAUGAGAUUUUAAUUUUCUUCCAAUUUUAAUUUUUUUUCUCAUUCAUACUUGGAAUUAGGCAGGGCCUAAUAUUCUAAUUUCAUUGCUUCCAUCGUCUAAGCUGCCAAAGAUAGCGACUAGGCUUUCUUCAUAAUAUUUCACCCUCAUUUUAUGCUGGAGGUUAUUACCACCAUUUAAAAUGCGCAUUCACAUUGCCGCAGAAACACCAACUGAAGUGAAGAAGAGGAUCUUGAAGGGCAGAAUGGAUUGACCUAGCUUCCGGCAUUUACCCAACCCUUCUAAAUUUCGUUCAGGCUGCUGCAUUUUCUCCUCUCAUGUAUAUUUAUGCAGCUUUGACUUGAAUGGGCAGCCAUAAGCCUUCUUGGUGACCAAAGGUCCCCUUGUUAUGUGGUGGCUAAAGUUUAGUGUAAUUUAAUCAAGAAGACACAGAGUUGGAUAAUCUGAUUUUUACUA